GCGGUCGUGGCGGAAUUGGUAGACGCGCUAGCUUGAGGUGCUAGUGGGGCAACUCGUGGAGGUUCGAGUCCUCUCGACCGCACCA
rnacentral:tRNA from 1 species